rnacentral:lncRNA from 1 species
UAACAGGUCGGGUUCGAGUAUCACACUAUCCGUAUCCACGAGUAUCUGCUUACUGUUUGAAAAAAUGAAAUUACAAUUUUACCAAUUAGAUUCUUUUUUUCUAACUGUUCAAUCUUCUUUAAAAGUGGGCCAAAGCCCAAAAUCCUUUUUAGGGUUUUCUUCUUCAAAUCAGAAUAAGGAAAAAGGAUCUACCUCAUUCCUUCC